rnacentral:lncRNA from 1 species
GUUGGAUUGUUUAAUUUGCAGCUGUGAACAGUACAAGAGCAUUUCUUAUUGUUGCUGUCAUCCAUUGACUGACUGUCCCACAAAGACUCCUUAUAUGCUUUAAAGGAAGAUAUUUCCAUGAGCUUUAUUAACUAUUGCAAUCCUUGAUGGGAUGAAUAGCCAUUAGAUCUUAGAGAAGAAAGACACCUUCCUCCAUGCUUCUGCUCAUAUAGAGACGCUGAAUACAUCACAUUGCCAUCUGUGGACAGGUUUAAACUCAAGAUCUGAAUCCCACACCACUCACACUGUGAACCAGGAUGGAGGAACCUUUUACUUGUGGAGGACCAGCCCUCUGAGACACCCUUAGUAGACUCACAUUAUGACGUAUUUCAGCAGUAUCAAGUAAUAAUUGGAGACCGUACAAGAUUUUCCUUAUUCACCGCUAAACCUGUAAAGAAGGCACUUCAUUCUGAGUUUUGAGUCCAUGCCAGCACAGUGAGGACAUUUUGAAGUUCAGACCAGAACCAGCACUGCUGGCAAGGACACAGCCAAAUGCACCUGGCGAUCUCAGAGGAACAACCACACUGAAUGCAAAGGGCUUCAGCAGUACAUACUGCCAGAAUACAGGAUGGGCUUCUAGGAUUAAAGGAAAUAACAUACAAAUAUGCUGAAAGUACUGUUCUCACAUCCUUCCAACUCACUUCCUACAGCACUUGCUAUUUAAGGCUCAAAAAAAUUAUCUGCAAGUUCCAGAACUGCCCCCUUUGCAAAUCUGCA